GACGAACGCUGGCGGCGUGCCUAAUACAUGCAAGUUGAGCGAUGAAGAUUGGUGCUUGCACCAAUUUGAAGAGCAGCGAACGGGUGAGUAACGCGUGGGGAAUCUGCCUUUGAGCGGGGGACAACAUUUGGAAACGAAUGCUAAUACCGCAUAAUAACUUUAAACAUAAGUUUUAAGUUUGAAAGAUGCAAUUGCAUCACUCAAAGAUGAUCCCGCGUUGUAUUAGCUAGUUGGUGAGGUAAAGGCUCACCAAGGCGAUGAUACAUAGCCGACCUGAGAGGGUGAUCGGCCACAUUAGGACUGAGACACGGCCCAAACUCCUACGGGAGGCAGCAGUAGGGAAUCUUCGGCAAUGGACGAAAGUCUGACCGAGCAACGCCGCGUGAGUGAAGAAGGUUGUCGGAUCGUAAAACUCUGUUGGUAGAGAAGAACGUUGGUGAGAGUGGAAAGCUCAUCAAGUGACGGUAACUACCCAGAAAGGGACGGCUAACUACGUG
rnacentral:rRNA from 1 species